rnacentral:misc_RNA from 1 species
GGAAAAUAUGACUUGAUAUAUUAAAACCAAAUAUCAACCCAUCCACUUUUUUUCAUUAAUGUGCCUUCUUUCACUUCUGGGGUGGAAGAGACAUAAAGCUUGAUAUAACAUCAAAAAAAAAAGAGAAGGCCAAAGAUCACAAAGUUCAGCAACCUAUAAAGUUUUUCCAAGAAAUAUAACUGGCAAUGAACCUUCAAAGUAAGACUAGAAAGGCACAAUACACAAUGUCUAACGGUUGACAAAUUCUACACUUUGUAGCAAUGAACAUCCAGCCAAAAGAACGAUGAUAAGCCAUUUUAUCAGCUUUAUCAUAAAAUGCAUUGGUACAUUUCUGUGUUCACUACAUUUCUUGUGACCGUCUUACACAACGACUGACCCUUUUCUUGAAUUCAUCCCUUUUUUCCCUCCAUUCCUUAGCAGCUUCCACGUUAGCAGGGGACUCAUCAUUAGGACUUGAAAGCAUGGAUAUGAUGCUCAAAAUUAUACUCUCCACCGUGUGGACAGGAGACCAACGCUCAUUAGCACACUCAUAGCCAUUUGGAUCAUCACCAGGGGGGUGAAGAAUUGAGAUGCAAACCUUCCCAUCAGAGUAAACAUUUGGAUGCCAGAUCUCUGUGGUAAACCUUACAGUUGGAGGACUGUUGGGAUAAUUUUCAGGAAAGCUCAUGAUAGCAUUAAAGAAACCCCCUUCAUAUAAAGUAUCUUGAGGUCCAAUAAUGGUGACACUCCAUUCAAACAAGUUGCUUUCAUCAACCAAACCAGCGGAAAAUCCAUCAACUGGGUGUUUACAGAGAUCCUUAAGUUGUUUCUGAAGGAGAAGACUAGCUUGUGAAGCCAUACUACUUCAGAGAGAGAGAGGGGAAAAAAGAGAAAUUCUUCUAGAGAGAGAAAGCUAAAGAAUACAAAAAGGGGUUCUCUUUCGCAGCCCUAGAACCUUCUUGA